rnacentral:tRNA from 1 species
CCUUCGAUAGCUCAGUUGGUAGAGCGAUGGACUGUAGUUAGUUUCAAACUUGAUAGACAUCCACAGGUCGCUGGUUCGACUCCGGCUCGAAGGA